rnacentral:rRNA from 1 species
UGCGUAGGCGGAUAAAUAAGUCAGAGGUGAAAGCUCCCAGCUUAACUGGGGAACUGCCUUUGAUACUGUUUAUCUUGAAUUAUGUUGAGGUUAGCGGAAUGUGACAUGUAGCGGUGAAAUGCAUAGAUAUGUCAUAGAACACCAAUUGCGAAGGCAGCUAGCUAGGCAUAUAUUGACGCUGAGGCACGAAAGCGUGGGGAGCGAACAGGAUUAGAUACCCUGUAGUCC